rnacentral:rRNA from 1 species
GACGAACGCUGGCGGCGUGCUUAACACAUGCAAGUCGAACGGAAAGGCCCUGCUUGCAGGGUACUCGAGUGGCGAGCGGGUGAGUAACACGUGGGUGAUCUGCCCUGCACUUCGGGAUAAGCCUGGGAAACUGGGUCUAAUACCGGAUAGGAGCCAUUUUUAGUGUGAUGGUUGGAAAGUUUUUUCGGCGUAGGAUGAGCUCGCGGCCUAUCAGCUUGUUGGUGGGGUAAUGGCCUACCAAGGCGGCGACGGGUAGCCGGCCUGAGAGGGUGGACGGCCACAUUGGGACUGAGAUACGGCCCAGACUCCUACGGGAGGCAGCAGUGGGGAAUAUUGCACAAUGGGCGCAAGCCUGAUGCAGCGACGCCGCGUGGGGGAUGACGGCCUUCGGGUUGUAAACUCCUUUCGCUAGGGACGAAGCUUUUUGUGACGGUACCUAGAUAAGAAGCACCGGCUAACUACGUG